rnacentral:rRNA from 1 species
AUGAACGCUAGCGGCAGGCUUAACACAUGCAAGUCGAGGGGCAGCAUAAUGGUAGUAAUACUAUUGAUGGCGACCGGCGGACGGGUGCGUAACGCGUAUGCAACCUACCCUUUACAGGGGGAUAACACUGAGAAAUCGGUACUAAUACCCCAUAAUAUUCCGGGAGGCAUCUUUCGGAGUUGAAAGCUUUGGUGGUAAAGGAUGGGCAUGCGUUGUAUUAGCUAGUUGGUAAGGUAACGGCUUACCAAGGCGACGAUACAUAGGGGGACUGAGAGGUUAACCCCCCACAUUGGUACUGAGACACGGACCAAACUCCUACGGGAGGCAGCAGUGAGGAAUAUUGGUCAAUGGACGGAAGUCUGAACCAGCCAUGCCGCGUGCAGGAAGACGGCUCUAUGAGUUGUAAACUGCUUUUGUACGAGGGUAAACGCAGAUACGUGUAUCUGCCUGAAAGUAUCGUACGAAUAAGGAUCGGCUAACUCCGUGCCAGCAGCCGCGGUAAUACGGAGGAUCCAAGCGUUAUCCGGAUUUAUUGGGUUUAAAGGGUGCGUAGGCGGUUUAGUAAGUCAGCGGUGAAAUUUUGGUGCUUAACACCAAACGUGCCGUUGAUACUGCUGGGCUAGAGAGUAGUUGCGGUAGGCGGAAUGUAUGGUGUAGCGGUGAAAUGCUUAGAGAUCAUACAGAACACCGAUUGCGAAGGCAGCUUACCAAACUAUAUCUGACGUUGAGGCACGAAAGCGUGGGGAGCAAACAGGAUUAGAUACCCUGGUAGUCCACGCAGUAAACGAUGAUAGCUCGUUGUCGGCGAUACACAGUCGGUGACUAAGAGAAAUCGAUAAGCUAUCCACCUGGGGAGUACGUUCGCAAGAAUGAAACUCAAAGGAAUUGACGGGGGCCCGCACAAGCAGCGGAGCAUGUGGCUUAAUUCGAAGCAACGCGAAGAACCUUACCAGGGCUUGACAUAUGGGUGAAGCGGGGGAGACCCCGUGGCCGAGAGGAGCCCAUACAGGUGGUGCAUGGCUGUCGUCAGCUCGUGCCGUGAGGUGUCGGGUUAAGUCCCAUAACGAGCGCAACCACUACUGAUAGUUGCCAUCAGAGCGUUUGAGCGAUCAAACAAGCUGGGCACUCUAUCGGGACUGCCGGUGUAAGCCGAGAGGAAGGUGGGGAUGACGUCAAAUCAGCACGGCCCUUACGUCCGGGGCGACACACGUGUUACAAUGGUAGGUACAGAGGGCAGCCACCCAGUGAUGGGGAGCGAAUCUCGAAAGCCUAUCUCAGUUCGGAUUGGAGGCUGAAACUCGCCUCCAUGAAGUUGGAUUCGCUAGUAAUCGCGCAUCAGCCAUGGCGCGGUGAAUACGUUCCCGGGCCUUGUACACACCGCCCGUCAAGCCAUGGGAGUUGGGGGUGCCUGAAGUUCGUGACCGAAAGGAGCGACCUAGGGCAAAACCGAUGACUGGGGCU